rnacentral:tRNA from 2 species
GCCGCGGUGGUGGAAUUGGUAGACACGCUAGUCUUAGGAACUAGUGCCGCAAGGCGUGGAGGUUCAAGUCCUCUCCGCGGUACCA